AGUGAACGCUGGCGGUAGGCCUAACACAUGCAAGUCGAACGGCAGCACAGUAAGAGCUUGCUCUUACGGGUGGCGAGUGGCGGACGGGUGAGGAAUACAUCGGAAUCUACUUUUUCGUGGGGGAUAACGUAGGGAAACUUACGCUAAUACCGCAUACGACCUACGGGUGAAAGCAGGGGAUCUUCGGGCCUUGCGCGAUUGAAUGAGCCGAUGUCGGAUUAGCUAGUUGGCGGGGUAAAGGCCCACCAAGGCGACGAUCCGUAGCUGGUCUGAGAGGAUGAUCAGCCACACUGGAACUGAGACACGGUCCAGACUCCUACGAGAGGCAGCAGUGGGGAAUAUUGGACAAUGGGCGCAAGCCUGAUCCAGCCAUACCGCGUGGGUGAAGAAGGCCUUCGGGUUGUAAAGCCCUUUUGUUGGGAAAGAAAAGCAGCAGGUUAAUACCCCGCUGUUCUGACGGUACCCAAAGAAUAAGCACCGGCUAACUUCGUG
rnacentral:rRNA from 1 species